rnacentral:rRNA from 1 species
AUUGAACGCUGGCGGCAGGCCUAACACAUGCAAGUCGAGCGGAUGACGGGAGCUUGCUCCUUGAUUCAGCGGCGGACGGGUGAGUAAUGCCUAGGAAUCUGCCUGGUAGUGGGGGACAACGUUUCGAAAGGAACGCUAAUACCGCAUACGUCCUACGGGAGAAAGCAGGGGACCUUCGGGCCUUGCGCUAUCAGAUGAGCCUAGGUCGGAUUAGCUAGUUGGUGAGGUAAUGGCUCACCAAGGCGACGAUCCGUAACUGGUCUGAGAGGAUGAUCAGUCACACUGGAACUGAGACACGGUCCAGACUCCUACGGGAGGCAGCAGUGGGGAAUAUUGGACAAUGGGCGAAAGCCUGAUCCAGCCAUGCCGCGUGUGUGAAGAAGGUCUUCGGAUUGUAAAGCACUUUAAGUUGGGAGGAAGGGCAGUAAGCUAAUACCUUGCUGUUUUGACGUUGCCGACAGAAUAAGCACCGGCUAACUCUGUGCCAGCCGCCGCGGUAAUAC